AAAAAGACAGAUAGUACAGAUGUACUUCGCACGUGAGUGCAGCCACUGUAGGCAGAAGGUUAGGAAAGUAGGAUACAGACAAGAAUUUAAUGUAUAUCUGUAAGCAACAAUAAAACAUUGCUAACGAAAAACGAUUCUGAGCCGAGUUCAGAUGAUAAUGUUGCUUUGUAUGUUUAAACGUUACAAUAUAAUACAUGGUAUUAUGUCAUAU